rnacentral:rRNA from 1 species
CAGGCCUAACACAUGCAAGUCGAGCGGAUGAGAAGAGCUUGCUCUUCGAUUCAGCGGCGGACGGGUGAGUAAUGCCUAGGAAUCUGCCUGGUAGUGGGGGACAACGUUUCGAAAGGAACGCUAAUACCGCAUACGUCCUACGGGAGAAAGCAGGGGACCUUCGGGCCUUGCGCUAUCAGAUGAGCCUAGGUCGGAUUAGCUAGUUGGUGAAGUAAUGGCUCACCAAGGCGACGAUCCGUAACUGGUCUGAGAGGAUGAUCAGUCACACUGGAACUGAGACACGGUCCAGACUCCUACGGGAGGCAGCAGUGGGGAAUAUUGGACAAUGGGCGAAAGCCUGAUCCAGCCAUGCCGCGUGUGUGAAGAAGGUCUUCGGAUUGUAAAGCACUUUAAGUUGGGAGGAAGGGCAUUAACCUAAUACGUUAGUGUUUUGACGUUACCGACAGAAUAAGCACCGGCUAACUCUGUGCCAGCAGCCGCGGUAAUACAGAGGGUGCAAGCGUUAAUCGGAAUUACUGGGCGUAAAGCGCGCGUAGGUGGUUUGUUAAGUUGGAUGUGAAAGCCCCGGGCUCAACCUGGGAACUGCAUCCAAAACUGGCAAGCUAGAGUACGGUAGAGGGUGGUGGAAUUUCCUGUGUAGCGGUGAAAUGCGUAGAUAUAGGAAGGAACACCAGUGGCGAAGGCGACCACCUGGACUGAUACUGACACUGAGGUGCGAAAGCGUGGGGA